CCUACGGGGAGCAGCAGUGAGGAAUAUUGGUCAAUGGACGAGAGUCUGAACCAGCCAAGUAGCGUGAAGGAUGACUGCCCUAUGGGUUGUAAACUUCUUUUAUAUGGGAAUAAAAUGUUCCACGUGUGGGAUUUUGUAUGUACCAUAUGAAUAAGGAUCGGCUAACUCCGUGCCAGCAGCCGCGGUAAUACGGAGGAUCCGAGCGUUAUCCGGAUUUAUUGGGUUUAAAGGGAGCGUAGGUGGAUUGUUAAGUCAGUUGUGAAAGUUUGCGGCUCAACCGUAAAAUUGCAGUUGAAACUGGCAGUCUUGAGGACAGUAGAGGUGGGCGGAAUGCGUGGUGUAGCGGUGAAAUGCUUAGAUAGCACGAAGAACUCCGAUUGCGAAGGCAGUUCACUGGACUGCAACUGACACUGAGGCUCGAAAGUGUGGGUAUCAAACAGGAUUAGAUACCCCAGUAGUC
rnacentral:rRNA from 1 species